rnacentral:rRNA from 1 species
AAUCAACGCUGGCGGCGUGCCUCAGACAUGCAAGUCGAACGAUUAAACUUCCCUUCGGGGAAGAUAUAAAGUGGCGCACGGGUGAGUAACACGUAGGUAAUGUACCUUUGGGUGGAGAAUAACUUAGGGAAACUUAAGCUAAUACCGCAUAAUGCAGCGGCUCCUUCGGGAGACAGUUGUUAAAGAUUUAUCGCCUAAAGAGCAGCCUGCGGCAGAUUAGCUAGUUGGUAAGGUAACGGCUUACCAAGGCUACGAUCUGUAUCCGACCUGAGAGGGUGGUCGGACACACUGACACUGAAUAACGGGUCAGACUCCUACGGGAGGCAGCAGUCGGGAAUUUUGGGCAAUGGGCGAAAGCCUGACCCAGCAACGCCGCGUGAAGGAUGAAGUCUUUCGGGAUGUAAACUUCGUAAGAAUAGGAAGAAUAAAUGACGGUACUAUUUGUAAGGUCCGGCUAACUACGUG